AGAAUCAACGCUGGCGGCGUGCCUCAGACAUGCAAGUCGAACGAUUAAAGCUCUCUUCGGAGAGUGUAUAGAGUGGCGCACGGGUGAGUAACACGUAAGUAAUCUACCUUCGAGUGGGGAAUAACAUCGGGAAACCGAUGCUAAUACCGCAUAAUGCAGCGGCAUCGCAAGAUGACAGUUGUUAAAGAUUUAUCGCUUGGAGAGGAGCUUGCGGCAGAUUAGCUAGUUGGUAAGGUAAUGGCUUACCAAGGCUACGAUCUGUAACCGGUCUAAGAGGACGGUCGGUCACACUGACACUGAAUAACGGGUCAGACUCCUACGGGAGGCAGCAGUACGGGUAAGUUUUGGGACAAGUAGGGGGAAACCCUGACCCAGGACCAACGCCGCGUGGAAAGGUAGUAGGUAAGUUAGUUUUACGGUAUAGUUAAACUUACGAAAGAAGUAAGGAAGAAAUAAAUGAACGUAUUAA
rnacentral:rRNA from 1 species